GCUCACUUUGGUAGCAUGUACUAAAACACAAAACAGAAAAGAUUACUAUGAUUCCCGCACAAAGAUGACCCACAAAUCUGUGAAGAGUUCUGCAUUUUA
ensembl:snRNA U6 U6 spliceosomal RNA